AGCGGCGGACGGGUGAGUAAUGCCUAGGAAUCUGCCUGGUAGUGGGGGAUAACGUCCGGAAACGGGCGCUAAUACCGCAUACUAUCAGAUGAGCCUAGGUCGGAUUAGCUAGUUGGUGGGGUAAAGGCCUACCAAGGCGACGAUCCGUAACUGGUCUGAGAGGAUGAUCAGUCACACUGUAACUGAGACACUGUCCAGACUCCUACGGUAGGCAGCAGUGGGGAAUAUUGGACAAUGGGCGAAAGCCUGAUCCAGCCAUGCAGCGUGUGUGAAGAAGGUCUUCGGAUUGUAACGCACUUUAAGUUGGGAGGCGUUACCAACAGAAUAAGCACCGGCUAACUUCGUGCCAGCAGCCGCGGUAAUUC
rnacentral:rRNA from 1 species